rnacentral:rRNA from 1 species
CUACUGGGGUAUCUAAUCCUGUUUGCUCCCCACGCUUUCGCACCUCAGCGUCAAUACUUGUCCAGCGAGUCGCCUUCGCCACUGGUGUUCUUCCGAAUAUCUACGAAUUUCACCUCUACACUCGGAAUUCCACUCGCCUCUCCAAGAUUCUAGCUUAGCAGUUUCAAAGGCAGUUCCGGAGUUGAGCUCCGGGAUUUCACCCCUGACUUGCCAAGCCGCCUACGUGCGCUUUACGCCCAGUAUUUCCGAACAACGCUAGCUCCCUCCGUAUUACCGCGGCUGCUGGCAC